rnacentral:tRNA from 1 species
GCCCGCCUAGCUCAAUCGGAUAGAGCGUCAGACUCUUAUGGCGGUGUACUUUCAGUGAUCUGAAGGCUGCGAGUUCGACCCUCGCGGUGGGCU